rnacentral:rRNA from 1 species
UGCGGCAUGCCUUACACAUGCAAGUCGAACGGCAGCAUAGGAGCUUGCUCCUGAUGGCGAGUGGCGAACGGGUGAGUAAUAUAUCGGAACGUACCCUAGAGUGGGGGAUAACGCAGCGAAAGUUGCGCUAAUACCGCAUACGAUCUACGGAUGAAAGUGGGGGAUCGCAAGACCUCAUGCUCAUGGAGCGGCCGAUAUCUGAUUAGCUAGUUGGUGGGGUAAAAGCCUACCAAGGCAUCGAUCAGUAGCUGGUCUGAGAGGACGACCAGCCACACUGGAACUGAGACACGGUCCAGACUCCUACGGGAGGCAGCAGUGGGGAAUUUUGGACAAUGGGGGCAACCCUGAUCCAGCAAUGCCGCGUGAGUGAAGAAGGCCUUCGGGUUGUAAAGCUCUUUUGUCAGGGAAGAAACGGUGAGCUCUAAUACAGUUUGCUAAUGACGGUACCUGAAGAAUAAGCACCGGCUAACUACGUGCCAGCAGCCGCGGUAAUACGUAGGGUGCAAGCGUUAAUCGGAAUUACUGGGCGUAAAGCGUGCGCAGGCGGUUAUGUAAGUCAGAUGUGAAAUCCCCGGGCUCAACCUGGGAAUGGCAUUUGAGACUGCAUGGCUAGAGUGUGUCAGAGGGGGGUAGAAUUCCACGUGUAGCAGUGAAAUGCGUAGAGAUGUGGAGGAAUACCGAUGGCGAAGGCAGCCCCCUGGGAUAACACUGACGCUCAUGCACGAAAGCGUGGGGAGCAAACAGGAUUAGAUACCCUGGUAGUCCACGCCCUAAACGAUGUCUACUAGUUGUCGGGACUUAAUUGUCUUGGUAACGCAGCUAACGCGUGAAGUAGACCGCCUGGGGAGUACGGUCGCAAGAUUAAAACUCAAAGGAAUUGACGGGGACCCGCACAAGCGGUGGAUGAUGUGGAUUAAUUCGAUGCAACGCGAAAAACCUUACCUACCCUUGACAUGUACGGAACCUCUGAGAGAUUAGAGGGUGCUCGAAAGAGAGCCGUAACACAGGUGCUGCAUGGCUGUCGUCAGCUCGUGUCGUGAGAUGUUGGGUUAAGUCCCGCAACGAGCGCAACCCUUGUCAUUAGUUGCUACGAAAGGGCACUCUAAUGAGACUGCCGGUGACAAACCGGAGGAAGGUGGGGAUGACGUCAAGUCCUCAUGGCCCUUAUGGGUAGGGCUUCACACGUCAUACAAUGGUACAUACAGAGGGCCGCCAACCCGCGAGGGGGAGCUAAUCCCAGAAAGUGUAUCGUAGUCCGGAUUGUAGUCUGCAACUCGACUACAUGAAGUUGGAAUCGCUAGUAAUCGCGGAUCAGCAUGUCGCGGUGAAUACGUUCCCGGGUCUUGUACACACCGCCCGUCACACCAUGGGAGCGGGUUUCACCAGAAGUAGG